rnacentral:rRNA from 1 species
GAUGAACGCUGGCGGCGUGCCUAAUACAUGCAAGUCGAGCGAACAGACGAGGAGCUUGCUCCUCUGACGUUAGCGGCGGACGGGUGAGUAACACGUGGAUAACCUACCUAUAAGACUGGGAUAACUUCGGGAAACCGGAGCUAAUACCGGAUAAUAUAUUGAACCGCAUGGUUCAAUAGUGAGAGACGGUUUUGCUGUCACUUAUAGAUGGAUCCGCGCCGCAUUAGCUAGUUGGUAAGGUAACGGCUUACCAAGGCAACGAUGCGUAGCCGACCUGAGAGGGUGAUCGGCCACACUGGAACUGAGACACGGUCCAGACUCCUACGGGAGGCAGCAGUAGGGAAUCUUCCGCAAUGGGCGAAAGCCUGACGGAGCAACGCCGCGUGAGUGAUGAAGGUCUUCGGAUCGUAAAACUCUGUUAUUAGGGAAGAACAAAUGUGUAAGUAACUAUGCACGUCCUGACGGUACCUAAUCAGAAAGCCACGGCUAACUACGUG